rnacentral:rRNA from 1 species
UACGUAGGGGGCUAGCGUUGUCCGGAAUCAUUGGGCGUAAAGCGCGUGUAGGCGGCUCGGUAAGUCCGCUCUGAAAGUCCGGGGCUCAACCCCGGGAGGCGGGUGGAUACUGUCGAGCUCGAGUCCGGAAGAGGCGAGUGGAAUUCCUGGUGUAGCGGUGAAAUGCGCAGAUAUCAGGAGGAACACCGAUGGCGAAGGCAGCUCGCUGGGACGUGACUGACGCUGAGACGCGAAAGCGUGGGGAGCAAACAGG